ensembl:lncRNA
CUUUGUGAUUGCUGGGGGGGAUAGUCCAGGUUCUGCCCAGAUGUCCUGCCACGGCACUGUGCAAGGAGCGGUCUGAACGUGUGCAGAGAGCGAAGGUGAGUGACGUGAGGAAGUGAGCCUGCCCAGCGCCACCAGCACCCUGCCUGCCACCGCUGGGCUCCGUGGCUAAUCCCAGCCCUGUCCUUCAGUGUGUGCAACCCAGGGCCUCAGGCCAUCUCCCUGCAAAGCGGUGCAUCCCCUGGUGCUUGCCCUACCUGCUCCGCUCCUGGGGGUGCCACAUGCUUCUCCAAAAGGAACUCAAAGCUCAGCAGUGCUGGGAAUGUGGUGGAGCCUCCCCUCUGAGGAAAUCUGCAUCCUCCAUCUCUAGAGCCAAAGCACUCCUUUGCUGUGAUUGCUGCCUUUGAAGCAAGCUAAGCUUUCCAAGUGCAAGCUCCAGCCAAGCUUGGGCUCUGGCUCAGCGCUCUUGACACAAAGUGUUCUCCAGCCCUGGGAUAUAUAACCUGUUAGAUCCAAGCCUGAGAAACCACCGUUGCUGUAAUGAUACACAAAAUAGAAAUCUCCACCUAACCCAGGACAAAAUGCUGUGCAAUCACUUUUGGAUCGCUGUGGGCUGCUUUCGCCGCAGACGCGAAGUCUGACAUCCAAAUGCACAACAGAAGAUCACCGAGACUUUGCAAAAUGCUCUAGGUGACAUAAACCGCAGUUUAAUGUGUUAGCAUUUGCCCGUCUGGGGGAUUCCUGAGGCUCAGCCAGCAGCGGGGCUGUGGGAAAGGAGGAGCGCAAACACCGCUGUCCUCUGCUGACCCGGCUUGUGCUGCUGCGUCGCUGACAGCCAUAAUAGGGAGCUCUGCGGAGAG